rnacentral:rRNA from 1 species
AGCCAAUAGAUACCCAGGUAGUCCACGCCCUAAACGAUGUCUACUAGUUGUUGGUGGAGUAAAAUCCAUGAGUAAACGCAGCUAACGCGUGAAGUAGACCGCCUGGGGAGUACGGUCGCAAGAUUAAAACUCAAAGGAAUUGACGGGGGCCCGCACAAGCGGUGGAUUAUGUGGAUUAAUUCGAUGCAACGCGAAAAACCUUACCUGGCCUUGACAUGCCACUAACGAAGCAGAGAUGCAUUAGGUGCCCGUAAGGGAAAGUGGACACAGGUGCUGCAUGGCUGUCGUCGGCUCGUGUCGUGAGAUGUUGGGUUAAGUCCCGCAACGAGCGCAACCCUUGCCAUUAAUUGCCAUCAUUUAGUUGGGCACUUUAAUGGGACUGCCGGUGACAAACCGGAGGAAGGUGGGGAUGACGUCAAGUCCUCAUGGCCCUUAUGGCCAGGGCUUCACACGUAAUACAAUGGUCGGUACAGAGAGUUGCCAACCCGCGAGGGGAGCUAAUCUCAGAAAGCCGAUCGUAGUCCGGAUUGUUCU